rnacentral:rRNA from 1 species
CGGAGGAAAAGAAACUAACAAGGAUUCCCCUAGUAACUGCGAGUGAAGCGGGAAAAGCUCAAAUUUAAAAUCCGUCCUCAGACGGAGUUGUAAUCUAGAGAAGUGUUUUCGGCCGUGGACCUGGCUAAGUCCCUUGGAACAGGGCGUCGUAGAGGGUGACAAUCCCGUACUUAUCAGGCAAACCGCGUCUAUGUGAUACACUCUCGAAGAGUCGAGUUGUUUGGGAAUGCAGCUCAAAAUGGGUGGUAAAUUCCAUCUAAAGCUAAAUAUUGGCGAGAGACCGAUAGCGAACAAGUACCGUGAGGGAAAGAUGAAAAGCACUUUGGAAAGAGAGUUAAACAGUACGUGAAAUUGCUAAAAGGGAAGCGCUUGAAGUCAGUCGCGUUUAUGAGACUCAGCCUCACGGUGUAUUUCUCUUGAACGGGCCAACAUCGAUUUUGGGCGCGGGAAAAGGGUUUGGGGAAUGUGGCAACCUCGGUUGUGUUAUAGCCUCUUACCGUACACCGCGCCCGGGAUCGAGGACCGCGGCUUUGCCUAGGAUGUUGGCGUAAUGGCUUUAAGCGACCCG